AUGAAUUACAUGGUAUUAGAGUGGAAGAUAAAUACUGAAAAUAAAUCAUUCCUCGUGUACACUGUGUCCCCACUCGUCAAGGACCCAGCCAAAUUCCUCCUUUUCACCCGCGAAGAGCCACUGCCUACCCCGCAUCUUUCUUCUGCCCCGAUUCAACCGGCUCUCUUCUCCCCAAGAUUACAGCCCCGAUUGGAACGACUGGCGGCGGCAGAUCGGGGGAGGUCACCCUACAGGCCGAGCUCGGAUCCACCCAAACAUCCAGCCCCGCGAGCACCCGGCCCUCUUCUCCCCCAACUGCAGCGACCCGUGAUGCCAGAUUGA
rnacentral:rRNA from 1 species